rnacentral:rRNA from 1 species
AGUGAACGCUGGCGGUAGGCCUAACACAUGCAAGUCGAACGGCAGCACAGUAAGAGCUUGCUCUUACGGGUGGCGAGUGGCGGACGGGUGAGGAAUACAUCGGAAUCUACUUUUUCGUGGGGGAUAACGUAGGGAAACUUACGCUAAUACCGCAUACGACCUACGGGUGAAAGCAGGGGAUCUUCGCACCUUGCGCGACUGAAUGAGCCGAUGUCGGAUUAGCUCGUUGGCGGGGUAAAGGCCCACCAAGGCGACGAUCCGUAGCUGGUCUGAGAGGAUGAUCAGCCACACUGGAACUGAGACACGGUCCAGACUCCUACGGGAGGCAGCAGUGGGGAAUAUUGGACAAUGGGCGCAAGCCUGAUCCGGCCAUACCGCGUGGGUGAAGAAGGCCUUCGGGUUGUAAAGCCCUUUUGUUGGGAAAGAAAAGCAGCAGGUUAAUACCCCGCUGUUCUGACGGUACCCAAAGAAUAAGCACCGGCUAACUUCGUG